AUGGCAGAGAUGACGAAUUUUGACAAAGAGAUUUAUUUAUAGACUAAUACACUUGAAACAAAUAGCCAAACCGAAAACUGCAGACAUUAUCAGUGCCUCCCCGCAAUCAAACCGAUAUAAAAAAUAAAAUGAAUCAUCACACCUGCCAUUUUCCGGUGAGAGAGAAUUGGCCCUGUAUUUACCAUAAAAUGUAGCUCAUCUACCAUGACAGAAGAGAAAGAUCCAGACUGUUGAUUGGGAAACAAGAACAAACAACAACGCAUGAGGUUUGGGUGUUGAGGGACCACUUGUCACAUUGUCCAAGUCCAACAGGACUGCUUCACACAGGCCACCCGGUGCAUGGACAUCCUGUGCCAGUGUGAUCCGAGCGCACGCGUACAGUUGUAAAGACUACAGCGAAUCGAGCCUGUGAACGGACAGGUCAGUUACUCAUCAAAUAUGAUACAAUAUUGUGUAAAACAUUGAAUUUGUAGAUGAAUCGACAUUUUGACUUUAUUACCCCUUUUCCCGACGUUUUAGACAUGAGGUGUGACAUGCGGAACAUCAGGCUCACCCCACUAGAAGCAGUGCAUGAUCAACGCCACCCUCAGCAAGGAGAUGUGCUGGAAGUGAUGUACUCUCUCACUCUGGGUAACACCCCAUCCAAUGACUGAUCUGAGGACCCUUUUUAGCAGCGGUGGAGUAACGCGCUUGGCCUUUACCACUGCUCCAUAAUUGCUGGCCGUCAACUUCCUUUUCCUCAUGGUGUGCCUGUUGGAGUUGGUGCAAGGUUAGCGGUUGUUAUGGCUCCUGUUCAAGGAGACAUGCCAUUCCACUGAAUCUGCCACAGAGACUGUUCCUUAGCCACUGAAGAUCCUGCUCUUUGGGCUCUCGGGACAGAAGGUUGUAUUCUUCGGCCAGGUACAGGUCCUCCACUGAUUACACCUGGUUGGACACCGCUGGUUUCCUCCACUUGCAUUCCACAUCCAUAUGCCUGAUAUUGUGAACUGACAAAAUAGGCUGCAUGGCAAGACUCAUGAGCUCCACUGAGGAAUUCCCAUGUGGUAGAGAGAAUCCCCUGGUCACCUAUAGAGACCUGCCAAGAGGAAGGAUUUAAAGUGCCACAUGCCUUUCAAUGCAUGACUUUGAACAUGUUGAAAUGCAUUUAUUGCAAUAAAUGUGCUAUAUAAAUAAAGUUUGAUUUGAUCGAUGACAUUACAGCUGUAGAAUAUUU
rnacentral:lncRNA from 1 species